GGGAUGGUAGCUCAAUGGUAGAGCAAGAAGCUGUUAACUUCGAGGUUGUAGGUUCGAGUCCUAUCCGUCCCG
rnacentral:tRNA from 1 species